rnacentral:ncRNA from 1 species
CGCGGUUGCGCAAUCGACCUCGGAGAUGUCGGCAAGAGUUCUGGAAAGAGUUCUCUAUUCUUUGGUAGCAGUGCUUUAUCCCGUGGAAGAUGAUUGCCCGGAAACAAGUAAAAAGACAUCCGUAAAACUCCACCCUGCUUGUCGUGUCCGGAACGUUCUUGGCAAUCCUUGACGAUCCGAGUGAGGAUA